UGUAAGCGUAUACCAAAGUUGUUGCGGUUAAAACGCUCGUAGUCGGAAUUUGGCAGUUCCGGAUGUGUGCACGUCGUGUGCGCACUUCGCGGGGAUUGCUUUUGUGGUCUUGCGUAGGAUGAGGCACUUUUAUUAGUGAACGUCCUCACGCAACCACUUUUUACUGUGAGAAAAUCAGAGUGCUCAAAGCAGGCAUUUGCCGUGAAUGUAUUAGCAUGGAAUAAUAGAAUAGGACUUGGUUCUAUUUUGUUGGUUUGUUGGGACUGAGUAAUGAUUAAGAGGGACAGUUGGGGGCAUUUGUAUUUCGGUGCUAGAGGUGGAAUUCUUAGAUUACCGAAAGACAAACUGCUGCGAAAGCGUCUGCCAAGGAUGUUUUCAUUGA
rnacentral:rRNA from 1 species